AGGGAAUUAGCUCAGCUUGGUAGAGCACUAGUUUUGGGAACUAGGUGUCGUCGGUUCAAAUCCGGCAUUCCCUACCA
rnacentral:tRNA from 1 species